rnacentral:lncRNA from 15 species
UAUUUUAAAACGAAAAUCAAAUAACCACUCGUUUUCUGUUUUUUAAUACCCGUUUCUGAAAGGAAAAUCCAAUGACCAAAACAUACACGGACCGUGCUUCUACUUCGUUUCUGUGAUUGCAGCAUUUUUCUGUUGCUGCGUUUUUCUGUUGGAUUUGUUUUAUGUGUUUGUGUGUUUUUGGAUUUACAUCAUUCCCGUGUUUGAAACGUUUUGCCGUUUGCCCUUGUUGGCCACCGUAGAAACCCUCAUCUCUGGCAUCCUGUCAGCAUGUAAGGGCAAGUCAGACAUGUUUUAGUCCUGGUAAGUACAUGAAAUUAACUACAACUGAACUUACAAGACUAGUUACAAUAAACUACACAUCUGUCAGUGUCACAUGUCACAAUCCAUUUAUUGUCACAGAUUGGCACACAGACCCAUGCCAAGCCAAUUCAGGAGGAGAGGGGGACCCAUGUGAGGCCAGAGUCCCACGGCAGCGUGGAUUAAAGAGCAGCAGAUAAAGAGACCUUGAGGACAGUCCACCCGGCCGGAUCAGUGGGACCAGUUCCACUACAGUGGGUCCCAGGAGGAGAGGAAGAGAGCCGUAUGGAAGCCAUGCUGUCCAGCUUGGACUGGCUUAUGUCCGGUCUGGACUGCUGACAUCUUUACAGAGAUCUGCUCCAUCAACAUCCUGGAUCAAGCUCUAGAUGGGCGAACUGCGUUUGAAGCCGACAGAGUGCAGGAUGAGAGAAGGUGGACUGCUUAAACGCAGUGAAAGUGGAUGGAUUUUAUGUGAAGAUGAAACCAUAUUAUCAUCACAAUCUUGUUGCUGUUGACAUUCAACCAGACACAAAAGAUGCACUGCAAAAUUAUUUCCUGUGUGUAUGUGUUAUAUAUAUAUAUAAAUAACUGUAUGUUGGUUUAUUUUAUUUUAUUUUAAUAAUUUUCUGUUAUUCUACAAUUAUAUUUUUCAAUGUGUGUAACAUGAAGUAAAUGUAAACUUUUCUUUUGUAAUAAAACCUUGUGCUGUAUAAUGAUUAAAAACCAGUCUACUUAACAUUCUAUUAUAAAAACUGAAAAUUAGGCCUAUAGUGUAAAAUAGUGCAUGAAAAAUGGUCUUUCAUAUAUAGUGUUUGUAUGUAUACAAACAGUGUACAUUAAAACUUGCAUGUUGGUGGCCAGACGAAGUAAAACCAAGUUUGAUGAUUUUCAUGAAACAAAUUCAGAUCUAUUUGUGCCUUCACAACUUCAUGUCACUUGAACUUUGCUGACAGCUCAGACUAUGUGCUUUAACAGAUUCUGACCACUGAAGGGCAGUGCAGACUGACAAGUGCCAUCAAACCUUUGUACUCCCCCUCCUUCUGCUGAGACACAAUCACACAUUGUAAUGCGAUCUGCUGACCCCCCCCCCCCCCCCCUUCAGCCCAGGGCGAUGCAAUGUCAUGGUGGAGACUGGUUCAAGUGUGUUUGGACUGUGUGGGGUAAGCUUGUUUAGGUUUGUUGUCAGAUAGAGUGUGAGUUGAGCCUUCUUAAUCUAUAGUACUGGGCUUUUACAUGGCUGUGGAUUAGCUGAAAUGGAAAUUGGGUUCAGUGUGACAUUAAAUAUAUUCAGUAGUGUAUGAGAAAACAUAGAUAAAAGCUUUUGACAUUUAUGAUUGAGAUACUGUCUGAUACUGUGAUUAUGGUUCACACGUGGUGACUUUUACAAUCGGUGAAAUGGCACUGCUUCUUUGCCAUUUAUACAAGUACAGGUCUAUUUACCAUUUACAAUAGGAAUUUCUCAAUAUGAUUUUUUUAAUAAAAUGAGAUUGAAGGCAAAUUAUGACUAAAACAGCUUCCUUAGUAGCCACUACAGCUCAUUGUAGCUAAAAGUAGUAUUGAUGUGAGGCUAAAAAAGUCCAG